rnacentral:rRNA from 1 species
UAGUUGCCAUCAUUCAGUUGGGCACUCUAGCGAGACUGCCCGGUAAUAAACCGGAGGAAGUGGGGAUGACGUCAAAUCAUCAUGCCCCUUAUGACCUGGGCUACACACGUGCUACAAUGGUUGGUACAACGAGUUGCGAGUCGGUGACGGCGAGCUAAUCUCUUAAAGCCAAUCUCAGUUCGGAUUGUAGGCUGCAACUCGCCUACAUGAAGUCGGAAUCGCUAGUAAUCGCGGAUCAGCACGCCGCGGUGAAUACGUUCCCGGGCCUU